GCACUGGGAAAACUGGAGAGGCUUGAGCAACUGAUCUGACUUUGUAACUGGGCCCUUAUUGGUGCGAUGAUUAGGAUAGACUCAGGUUCCCCAUAGGACCAUCAGCUCCAGGAGGGUGGGACUGUCUAAUUCAGCUUGUAUUUCUGUCCCGGAAUCUAGCACAGAUGGGGAAUGCAGUCCAUCCACCAUGACGACUAGUGUGCCUCCAAAUCAGUCCUGCUCCUGCAGUCACCUUGGGUCUGCAGUCCUCCUCGCAAGCCUCCUCCCAAGUCACUGCUACAGAAUUAAUGGUUGAGCAUCAGGUCAGUGUUUUGUGAUACUGCCAUCUAGCUGAGAUGCUACUUCUCCACCCCUGCUGGCCACCAAAGCAGAAUAUAAAGUGGAAGAUGAGGCUGCUUGCUGUUUUGACACUGUCAGGCAUGUCUCAAAUGCCCUCCAUACUCUCACGUUACUCCAACAAGGUCUCCCAGCCACUGGAAGAAAGGGUGAAAGGGUUCCUGUCCCUCCCCUCUGCUUUGUCCUUCCAAAGCUGUCAAAAGACCAACUUGUCCAUGUAACAUUUCGUUUCACCUGCAAAACAACCUUUUUCUCCCCUCUAAAAAUAUAUUUACUAAAAUGAACUGGUUUAAGAAGGAAAAGGUCCAUCUAGGUUAAAGCUAUGGUUUUUCCAGUAGUCAUGUAUAGAUGUGAGGGUUGCAUCAUAAAUAAAGCUGAGCACUGAAGAAUUGAUGCUUUUGAACUGUGGUGUUGGAGUAGACUCUCAAGAGUCCCUUGGACUACAGGAAGAUCAAACCAGUCAAUCAUAAUAUUGAAUAUUAUGAUUAAAUAUUAGUCCUGAAUAUUCAUUGGAAGGACUGAUGCUGAAGCUGAAGCUCCAGUGUUUUGGCCACCUGACAUGAAGAACUGACUCAUUGGAAAAGAUCCUGAUGCUGAGAAAGACUGAAGGCAGGAGGAGAAGGAGAUGACAGAGGAUGAGAUGGUUGAAUGGCAUCACCAACUUGAUGGACAUGAGUUUGAGCAAGCUCCAAGAGUUGGUGAUGGACAGGGAAGCCCGGCGUGCUGCAGUCCAUGGGGUUGCAAAGAGUUGGACACAACUGAGGGACAGUACUGAACUAAACUGAAGUAGGAAAAACAUUAACACACCUUCUUGGGAUACCUUGGAGAAGGCAAUGGCAACCCACUGCAGUACUCUUGCCUGGAAAAUCCCAUGGGCGGAGGAAUCUGGUAGGCUGCAGUCCAUGGGGUCGCAAAGAGUCGGACACGACUGAGUGACUUCACUUUCACUGUUCACUUUCACGCAUUGGAGAAGGAAAUGGCAACCCACUCCAGUGUUCUUGCCUGGAGAAUCCCAGGGGUGGGGAGCCUGGUGGGCUGCCGUCUAUGGGGUCACACAGAGUCUGACACGACUGAAACGAUUUAGCAGCAGUGGCAGCAGUGGGAUACCUCAUCCCCCAAAGAUUAUAAUACUUUAGGUAAAGUCCUAACCCAAAUCAGAAGCUUUUAUUUGAGCUAAGUUUCCCCCUUAAAUUUUUUCUUUUGUUUUUAAAUCAAGUUAAUUAUGGACAAAAUUUGGAGAAUUCAACAACUCUAUAAUAUCAGUUACAUCAAAGGAAGCAUUCUGUCCCCAUGUGGUCACACCUCCUUCCCAGAGACAAACACUUCACCCUAAAAACAGACAGUUUUGUCAUUUACAUCAUACCUCUCAGCAACAUAUUCCUAUCGCUGUUUCUUAAGGGUUCAGCAUGAGCAUCAUCUAAGCACUUCCCACAGAAAGGAGAAUUUAGCAAUCUUUGCUCCCCCAACCCACUUCACACUCUUCCCAUGUGCCACAUCCUUCUGAUUACAACACAGUAGUACUAUAAUUUUAAGAGAUAAAUUUUCUGUGUGUUAUAUUCUUAUCUCUAUGCAAUGGUCUUUAUAGGUGAUUUAUUUAGGAAACUGGUUAUUUUUCCUUUCCCU
ensembl:lincRNA